rnacentral:rRNA from 1 species
UUCUCUGAGUGACUUUCGCUAAGAAAGUCUUUUGACACCUCUAAAAAUGGUGUAGAAUAAGGGGUGGGCAAGUCUGGUGUCAGCCGCCGCGGUAAUACCAGCACCCCGAGUGGUCGGGACGAUUAUUGGGCCUAAAGCAUCCGUAGCCGGUUUUACAAGUCCUCCGUUAAAUCCAGCUGCUUAACAGAUGGGCUGCGGAGGAUACUAUAAGACUAGGAGGCAGGAGAGGCAAGCGGUACUCAGUGGGUAGGGGUAAAAUCCGUUGAUCCAUUGAAGACCACCAGUGGCGAAGGCGGCUUGCCAGAAUGCGCUCGACGGUGAGGGAUGAAAGCUGGGGGAGCAAACCGGAUUAGAUACCCGGGUAGUCCCAGCUGUAAACGAUGCAGACUCGGUGAUGGACUAGCUUUAUGCUAGUCCAGUGCCGCAGGGGAGCCGUUAAGUCUGCCGCCUGGGUAGUACGGUCGCAAGACUGAAACUUAAAGGAAUUGGCGGGGGAGCACCACAAGGGGUGAAGCCUGCGGUUCAAUUGGAGUCAACGCCGGGAAUCUUACCGGGGGCGACAGCAGGAUGAAGGUCAAGCUGAAGACUUUACUAGACAAGCUGAGAGGAGGUGCAUGGCCGUCGCCAGCUCGUGCCGUGAGGUGUCCUGUUAAGUCAGGUAACGAGCGAGACCCCUGCUUCUAGUUGCUACUUUUAUUCCUCGGAGUAGAAGGGCUAAUUAGAAGGACUGCCGCCGCUAAGGCGGAGGAAGGAGGGGGCUACGGCAGAUCAGUAUGCCCCGAAACCCUCGGGCCACACGCGGGCUGCAAUGGUAAGUACAAUAGGUUCCGAUUCCGAAAGGAGGAGGCAAUCCCGUAAAACUUACCACAGUUAUGAUUGAGGGCUGAAACUCGUCCUCAUGAAUAUGGAAUCCCUAGUAU